rnacentral:rRNA from 4 species
UUACCGAGUUUACAACUCCCAAACCCCUGUGAACAUACCUUAAUGUUGCCUCGGCGGAUCAGCCCGCGCCCCGUAAAACGGGACGGCCCGCCAGAGGACCCAAACUCUAAUGUUUCUUAUUGUAACUUCUGAGUAAAACAAACAAAUAAAUCAAAACUUUCAACAACGGAUCUCUUGGUUCUGGCAUCGAUGAAGAACGCAGCAAAAUGCGAUAAGUAAUGUGAAUUGCAGAAUUCAGUGAAUCAUCGAAUCUUUGAACGCACAUUGCGCCCGCUGGUAUUCCGGCGGGCAUGCCUGUUCGAGCGUCAUUUCAACCCUCAAGCCCCCGGGUUUGGUGUUGGGGAUCGGCUCUGCCUUCUGGCGGUGCCGCCCCCGAAAUACAUUGGCGGUCUCGCUGCAGCCUCCAUUGCGUAGUAGCUAACACCUCGCAACUGGAACGCGGCGCGGCCAUGCCGUAAAACCCCAACUUCUGAAUGUUGACCUCGGAUCAGGUAGGAAUACCCGCUGAACUUAAGCAUA